rnacentral:rRNA from 1 species
AGUGAACGCUGGCGGUAGGCCUAACACAUGCAAGUCGAACGGCAGCACAGUAAGAGCUUGCUCUUACGGGUGGCGAGUGGCGGACGGGUGAGGAAUACAUCGGAAUCUACUUUUUCGUGGGGGAUAACGUAGGGAAACUUACGCUAAUACCGCAUACGACCUACGGGUGAAAGCAGGGGAUCUUCGGACCUUGCGCGAUUGAAUGAGCCGAUGUCGGAUUAGCUAGUUGGCGGGGUAAAGGCCCACCAAGGCGACGAUCCGUAGCUGGUCUGAGAGGAUGAUCAGCCACGCUGGAACUGAGACACGGUCCCGGCUCCUACGGGCGGCAGCAGUGGGGAAUAUUGGACAAUGGGCGCAAGCCUGAUCCAGCCAUACCGCGUGGGUGAAGAAGGCCUUCGGGUUGUAAAGCCCUUUUGCUGGGAAAGAAAAGCAGCAGGUUAAUACCCCGCUGUUCUGACGGUACCCAAAGAAUAAGCACCGGCUAACUUCGUG